CCUAAGACUUCGCGAGUGUGAAGCUGUUGCGAAUUCUGGGCAGAAUUUUCGCAACAGCUUC
rnacentral:sRNA from 1 species